AAACAUCUCUUUUUGAAUAUAAUUUAAAGUUUAAUCUGCUCAAUGAUUUAUUAAAUAGCUGCAGUAAUUUAACUGUACUAAGGUAGCAUAAUCAAUAGUUUCUUAAUUGGAAGCUGGAAUGAAGGAUUGGAUGAAAUAAAAAUUGUCUCAAAUUUAAUAAAAUUAGAAUUUUCUUUUUAGUUAAAAAGCUAAAUUGAUUUUAAAAGACGAGAAGACCCUAUAGAUUUUUAUAAUUUGUUAAAAUAAUAAUAAUAAUAUAAUUUAUAAUUAAUUUAUUAAAUUAUUUGGUUGGGGAAAUUAUUAAAUUUAUUUAAUUUUAAUUUUUAUUAAACAAUAAUUAUUGAAUAAAUGAUCUUAAAUAUAGAUAAUAAGAAUAAAAUACCUUAGGGAUAACAGCGUAAUAUUUUUAGAAAGAUCUUAUUAAUAAAAAUGUUUGCGACCUCGAUGUUGAAUUAAAAUAAAAUUAUAAUGAAGAAGUUAUAAAUUUUUAGUCUGUUCGACUAUUAAAAUUUUACGUGAUCUGA
rnacentral:rRNA from 1 species